CCCGCCGGCGACCGGCGCACGGGUGAGUAACACGUAUGCAACCUGGCCGCCACAGGGGGAUAACCCGCGGAAACGCGGCCUAAUACCCCGUGACGCCACCGGAGGGCAUCCUCCGGUGGCCAAAGGAGCGAUCCGGUGGCGGAUGGGCAUGCGGCGCAUUAGCUAGACGGCGGGGUGACGGCCCACCGUGGCGACGAUGCGUAGGGGUUCUGAGAGGAAGGCCCCCCCACACUGGGACUGAGACACGGCCCAGACUCCUACGGGAGGCAGCAG
rnacentral:rRNA from 1 species